UAGGGAAUCUUGCGCAAUGGGCGAAAGCCUGACGCAGCCAUGCCGCGUGAAUGAUGAAGGUCUUAGGAUUGUAAAAUUCUUUCAGCGGGGAAGAUAAUGACUGUACCCGCAGAAGAAGCUCCGGCUAACUUCGUGCCAGCAGCCGCGGUAAUACGAAGGGGGCUAGCGUUAAUCGGAAUUACUGGGCGUAAAGCGUGCGUAGACGGUCACAUAAGUCGGGUGUGAAAGCCCCGGGCUCAACCUGGGAAUUGCAUUCGAGACUGCGUGGCUAGGGUGCGGAAGAGGGAAGCGGAAUUUCCGGUGUAGCGGUGAAAUGCGUAGAUAUCGGAAGGAACACCAGUGGCGAAAGCGGCUUCCUGGUCCAGCACCGACGUUCAGGCACGAAAGCGUGGGGAGCAAACAGGAUUAGAUACCCUGGUAGUCCACGCCAUAAACGAUGAGAACUAGACGUUGGGGGGGUAAGCCUCUCAGUGUCGCAGCUAACGCGUUAAGUUCUCCGCCUGGGGAGUACGGCCGCAAGGC
rnacentral:rRNA from 1 species